rnacentral:lncRNA from 1 species
AUGGCAAGUCACGACAACGGACGCCGCUCCAUUCCCCGCAGCAGACUCCACGUGGCACGUCCCGGUGAUAGCCAAGGGUCCACUCCACUACUCUUCGCAACAAACUCCGCCUGGCUCUGGGCAGCCCACUGCCAGACGGUUACAGAUAUCGCUGUCAGUCUGCUAUCCCCUUUCGUCUAUAAAAGGGGGCCCCAAAUACGUUAUUAUCUAAGCUCUAUUCUCUAUCCCAA